rnacentral:snRNA from 1 species
AGCUUUGCACAGUGGCAGUAUCAUACCAAUGAAGUUAAUCUGAGGUGUGAUAUUGCUACUUGAAAUCUACUCCUCUCCUCCUGGUGGUAGAUGUACAGUACUACUGUAGACAGCAGAAACUG